rnacentral:lncRNA from 1 species
AAUCAAGAAGGUACCUGCAAAAAUUAUGCCACAAGCAAGGCUGAGUAUACUAAUACUUGCUAGACUUACCCGGUGUGAGGAGUCUACUCCUCUACGUCUAGACAUGCAACUGUUUGGCUGAGGGGUUUGGUUUGCCAAAAGCACUAGCUGAGUCUAAAUUCAAGUUUUAGCUUUUCAAGUUUUAAUAUGAUCCUUUUAAACUAGAUGAGUACCUAGCUAAUCAUACAUGGUAUCAAACAUUUUAUCAAUCAACAUCUUUUGCCAGUCACCUCAUUUCCACUUAUUACUCAAUGCAGUACAAUGGAUCAAGCAGUCUCAUUAGCUGCGAGAAGCAGACGAUUCGAAUCGAGUUUUUAUCCUUGCAAGGUAAACCCAAACACACGACAUGGCGAGGCACUCUGUCCCCACACACAUCAACCGUCCCCAUCGAUUCCCCGUCAGCAGAGAGGGGCUCACCGCCUUGGCGUACAAUGCCUCACUGACCCCGACUGCCGUCGUGCAGUGACCGCACUUGUACCCACCAUAACCGGAAUGGGAGACCACGUCUCAGGUCGCGUGAGGAGGGCAAUCUACUGCCAGGUUCAAUCAGGUACUAGGCUUACCGAUUUACCAUAUUUCUCGGCAUGUGCUUAGUACGUUCAAACGCUUGACACAGGUAUCCGCACGUUAAUCCUUAUUCCAAUUUCAUCUCGUAGACCACGCAUCCCCAUGGAUCCGUGUCCACAGACCAACAUCAGUAUGAUAUGAAAGUGGAUACAACCAAUUUCCUGACCUCGCGCGAGCGCUAGAAAAAUCACUCUACCGAGAUCCCUAAUUAGCAAAAGCAGCUACUCGACCUAGCAUACUAGUAUCCAUCUCAAAGGAAAUCCUGAGGUAAUGCAACUAGGGUUUCAGGCAACUCCUACACUUAAGUGCACAAUACAAGCCUACAAUCAUUAAGUGCAGUAAAAUAGUAUAUAUGACUGGUUAUGCAUAAACCGGGGCUUGCCUUUAAUUUAACACUUAGAUAGUGUUUGCUGGGGUGGGUACUCGCUUGGCGAGCAUCCACUGGUUAAGUCCAUCCUUCCUUGGGUCGUCCACCGACUGCAUCUUGUGGGUGGCACCACAUCACUUGCAUGAUCAUCCUCUCUCGGUCCUAAAUGAGAUGCAAGAUGCAUAUGCAUGAAUAUAAUGAAAUAGCACAAGAUACUUUAAGUACGUGUUAGCGAACUAACAAUAAGUUGCAAGACACUAUAAACGACCACACGCUAGUAUUAGCUAUCUACACUUCAUCAGGCUUUCAACAUUAACACUAUUGAAAAGACAACAACAUUUUAUUUAUUUACGCGACACAACUACGACAUCACAAGUACGCACACUUUAUUUAAUUGGAUACGACUUUUCAUUAGUUCUUCUAGUGAUCAUACAAAAGCAUCACAAGCACAAGUUCAACAGAGGAGGAAUUCCUAUCCACAACCAAUUACUCAAGCAAGCACAUUAAUCAUGGAACGCAUGUUAACCUAAGUUUAGACAUUACAAGUCGAUGCCUGUUAGGUGCUAACUAAACAUUUUUAGCCAACAGGUGAACUAAACAAUCAAAUAAGCACUAACAGAAUUUUUGGACAGCAAUACAGCAGUUACUUGUUUUAAUCAUAACUCUUCAAUUAUUAGUCCAAAAAUAUCAAACUAGGACUUUCUGGAAAUCUGAAAAAGUGAACUACAACUUUGGUAUUUUCAUCACAACAUGAUUCAACACUUAGCAAGGUUGAAUUGUGGAAACACAGCAGCUCUGUCCGGAUUUGGACAGAUUCAGACUUGCAACUUCAAAAAUUCACAACUAAAGAUUCAGACAUCCAAACAAAUUGAUCCUAGACUUUCUGGAAAGGUAAUGAAAUUGUUUACAUGCUAUUUAUAAACAUCUCAAGGUGAUUCAAUAUUUAACUAAGGAUAAACAUCACUAAAAGACUUUACUGUCCAGAACUGGACAGAUUCAGUCUUUACACUUUAAACAUUCACAACUCAAGCUUCAGAUCACCAAAAAGAGUGAUCCAAUACUUUUUGGAAAGCUCAGAAAAAGCACUACAUAACUUUUAUAAUCACCAAAAAGUGAUUCAAUGUUUAACUAAAUCAAACAACACAGUUUUCAAAAUCUGUUCUGACGGUGGACAGAACACAGCAACCAGUCUGUAAAAUUCAUAACUCCUAAACUAUCAGGCCUAUGGUUAUGAAAUUUUAACACAAGCAAGAUAACAAAAGCACCUACAACUUUAUUAUAAUGACCAUCAACAGAUUGUAACAUUAACUUAAGCAAACAGUGCAGUUUCUGAAAUCUGUACAGAAUUUGGACAGAUUCAGUUACUGAAUUUGUAAAAUUCAUAACUCCUAAACUGUCAGACCUAUGGCUGUCAAAUUUUAACACCAGCAAGAUAAUAAAGUUAUCUACCACUUUUCUAUAGCACAUAUCUGCAGAAAACACAAUUUGGUUCAUCAAACAUACAGCACAACUAAAACAGUGCGUGCAGCCCAAAACAGAAAUUAAUAAAUUUCAGCUCCUAUACAAUUCAAGAAUUGCCAUGUUCUAGAGACUUGAAUUAUUCUAACACUUUGACAAUUGUUAGAGUUAAAAUAACUAAGUGAGAACUAACAUGUAGACUUACUACUUUUUAUACAAGUUAUUUCGCGCACUAAAAGUACCAUACUACCUAGACUUACUACCUAGACAUCUAGCAUCACAUAGAGAGCCUACUACUUCACAUUGCAAUUCAUACAGAACCGCAAGGUAACAAUAAUAACACAUGGGUAAUCGACCUUUCUCUACGACCUUCAGUUAGGUCACCAACAGACGACCUGAUGACUACGAAGGCAUGUCACCAUUUCAUCACACUCAUUCAUCGCCUAUAUGCGCACUAAUUCAUUUCUUGCGACCCAUGCACUCAAAAUCAAUCCACACUACACAAAAUACACUUAUCUCUUAUUUAUGCGCAGACUUAACACCUUUCAGGAUAAAGAGUCACUAGAGAAUCUACUAAUUAACUUGCAACCACUUGAAGUACUGGAAACACCUACAUAUAACAAUUACUUAACGCAAUUGAAUUCCUUUAUUUAACAAGAGUUGGCUAACACAACAUGAAAAAAUAGUAAUUCAUACACAAGUUCAUAUUUUUCUCAAUCAUAACACCAUGAGACCAACAAAACUAGUUUCACCAUUUUAGACAUCUUAACUUAAAAUAUAGUUAAAAAUAAUUCGAUUAGUUUUCUUAACUACUUUUCUAUAUCAGGUCACUUAGCUCCCAAUUAAUCAACACACCAUAUUUCCUUUGACGCAAUAGGUAGAGCACGACCACUUGUUUCUAACAAUCCUUGGGUAUCAACAAUUAAUUGCCUAUGGUAUUUAUCCGACUCGAAAACAUAGAGAAGGCGACGACUACUACGGCAUGUCGUCACCUCAUCUUAAUCGCAUAAUCAACCUUAGCUUUACUGAUCGAGUCUGCCGACUAACCGCUUAAAAUAGUAAAACCUAUCCUUCGCAUCAAACAACACAUCACACAUCUUCCUAUCGAAACGUAAAAACAUCCGAGUUCUUUUCUACUUCUUUUUCUUUCGCCACAACUUCAAUCCAUACCAAUACAAUUUUUUUAAACACGCACCACAUCAACCAAUUUAUACAAAUCGACAACCACCAAUCUCUAACUCGAAAUCAUGAGCACGACCAUAUUACGACCUACCGCCAAAACAUUUCAACCACAUCUAUAUAAUUUAUUAAUCAAGUCAAUCGAGAGCGACAUGCAUCGGCUCACCAUAAACAAACCCAAUCGGUGUUUGUAAGAACGUUGGCGAAUCGAUUUGUGCAUAGCUCCGCACGUUGACGAGCGUUGAACGACUUGCCUUCUCCACGCAAACAUGGGGUUUCUCUCCUCCACAAAAACAAAACAAAGCAGCACACAUACAUAAUUAAUCAUAGGAAAAUAACGCCGAUGCGGAAUCGAACAAGGAUUGACGUGGCCUCACCGGGGUGAACAACGACGACGACGGGGCUGCGCAAAAACAACAAACCACCGACGGGCAUCACGGCGUGCUGCUCACUGCGCAACCAAAACAGCAAGCCGGCAGCGCGCGGAGCCGUCGGGGCUGCUACACAUUUCGUCGAGCAUGCAGCGCGCGACUUCUUGUUGCAGACCAUGGCCAUGGGGAGGCCACUGCGCGCUGUCCUUGGGAGGCAGUCGUAGCAAGGAAAAGCUCGCGGCCGGGAGAGGAAAACAGGGGCGCCCUGCGCUGCUGAGCUCGACCAUAGAGAAGGGGCGCUGGCCUUAGUGCUCCCUGCACGCAGGGGAACAACAGGGGAGAAAAGAAGCUCGGCCAUGGCUGCUGGAGGUGCUCGGCUAGGGAGGGAGCAUGGAGAGGGAGCCGGCUUCAUGGGGAAGAAGGGGAGGAGGAGUGCGCGCCCAGGGAAGGCUGGGGAAGAACGCCCUGCUGGAUGGGUGCCGAGCGCCAUGGCAAGGAGCCAAGCUCUGGCGUGCGUGGAGCCUGCGGCUGGAAAAUGGCAGAGGAGGAAGAGAAGAGAUGUUGGCGGCUGGGGGUGGAAAUGGAAAUUUUCCAGUUUGCAAGGGAGAGAGCUCCUAUUUAUAGAGGAAGUCCUAGGGUUCGGGUUUCUUAGGGCUAAAUGGGCUGUGUUGGGCUGGCCCUAACACUAAACCGGGCCGCGCUAAUUUAUUUCCAUUUUAUUUUAUGGUGUUUUGAUUAAACAUGGAUUAUCGGAUCGCUAAUUAUUUCCCGGAAUACAAACGCUCCUGCGGAAUUCGUCUCUACGGAGAACAGAGCGAAAAGAUUUCGGGAGAUCGGGCGAUUAACUCGACCGAGAGUCUGAUUUGAUUUCGCUCGAAAAUAACUCACUAUGCGUGAUUUGAAAAUAAAUCGUCCUAAGAUUUGAUCGGCUUUGGAUUUUAGUCGGAGAAGGCGAAUCGUGAUAUUUUAAAAUUGCUGUCGAUACGGGGUUUUGAUUUCAAUUAAGACACAAGAUAUUGGGCUGAGUCGAGUAAGAAUUAAUUAGAGGACAACAUACUGAGUAUUCCGCGUGAGAGUACGGAUCCGAAUAAAAUAGUCGAACAUAGAUCAAGGUUCGAGGAAUUAGACUCGGGCUCAGAUCAAAUAACAACCGUUGAGAGUUUGAUUUAAAGAGCUUCAGAUGAGAUUUAUAAUUCGAGAAUGAUUUUUGAGUUUGCAUUCGUUCCGAGAAAUAAAAGUUUUAACAGGCUCCAAAUUCGGCCUUUCUAGAGAUCAAACAAAAUCAGAAAUCGGUGAAACCUUCACAAGUAACUUGAUAAAUGGAGAUAAACGUGAUCGAGAAAUAGAAAUUUCCACUGACGAUUCGAGUUAGGGACAAAUCUCCCGACAUAACACGAAACUGACACCUGGGGUGUCACACCCACAAUGAAAUCCAUGCUGAUGUCAUCCCAUUUCCACGAAGGUAUAGAUAGGGGUUGCAAAGCUCCAGCUGAUUUCAAGUGGCUUGCCUUUAUCCUCUGACAAGUGUCACAUUCUGAUACAUAUUGGGCUAUCUCCCUCUUCAUUCGGGUCCACCAAUACAAGGGCUUCAGAUCAUGGUACAUUUUGGUGCUCCCUGGAUGCAUGGAGAAUUUGGAGAGAUGGGCCUCAUCCAAGAUUCUCUUUUUGAGAUCUUUAUUUUUAGGAACCACCAAUCUGCUUUCAAACCACAAUAUACCCUUUCCAUCUUGGCGGAAACAUUUAUACUUCUCGGUCUUCUGAUGGAGAUUCUCCUUAAUGAUUUGCACUCCCUUGUCACUGAGUUGGGCCAUGAUGAUCUGGUCUUGCAAAGCUGGCUCAACAGAAAUGUGAGACAAAGCACCAGAAGGAAUCACAUCAAUCUUCAUUUUGCUCAACUCAUCACACAGGGUGUUAAAGCGAGAAUCCAUCAUAACACAGUUGUAUUGCAAUUUCCGACUCAAGGCAUCUGCCACCACAUUGGCCUUUCCUGGGUGAUAAUGUACCUCUAGGUCAUAGUCCUUGAUCAGCUCUAGCCAUCUUCUCUGCCUCAUGUUGAGAUCAGCCUGAGUAAAUAUGUACUUAAGGCUCUUAUGAUCAGUGAAGAUGUUGCAGUGGGUACCCAUCAAAUAGUGUCUCCACAUUUUCAAUGCAUGGACCACGGCUGCUAACUCCAGGUCAUGAGUGGGAUAAUUUUGCUCAUAAGGCCUGAGUGCUCUUGAUGCGUAAGCAAUGACUCGGUUGUCUUGCAUCAAGACACAACCUAGUCCAGUGCCAAAGGCAUCACAAUACACAUCAAAUGGCUUGCUGCUGUCGGGUUGCGCUAUGUCCAACCUAUUCUAUUUAUUCUGCUAUUCUAUUUAUUCACGACGAAUUUGUUUCCGAAAGUGGCAUUGAGAAGUGUUGCUCCAGGCUUUCAUACUUUACUCGAAUAUUUUUAAACACAAAUAAGAUCCCUCAUAAGUGCAAACAAUGCAAUAGCUUCGGUUAAGGCAAAGCCCAAACAAAUCAAAAGAAAAGAAAAAUAAUUGUCUCGCUAAUGAUGGAUUUCUAGCAACUGGAUUGGUUUCUAGUUUCUUUGAUAGUUGGAAGUUCUCCAAAAGUAUGAAAGGCUGGAGGGCUUUGUACCAACCAUUCUAGUGUGGUUGGAUUCUGCUCAACAGCCCAAGGACUUUCCGCACAUCUUUUGUUCUUUCCACUGCUUGAAGUGAUUGCGACAACUACGAAGAAACGACGAAUUCCAACUACGGAUAUAUAAGAACCGAAACUGCUCAGAGCAUUCCAUCCGGCGUAAGCAUCUGGAUAAUCUGGAAUGCGACGUGGCAUACCCGAAAGCCCUAAGAAAUGCAUGGGAAAGAAGGUCAGAUUAACCCCGAAAAAAGUGAUCCAAAAAUGGAUUUGGCCUAAAGUUUCAGGAUAUGUCCGACCAAAGAUUUUACCCACCCAAUAGUAAAAUCCAGCAAAUAAAGCAAAAACGGCUCCCAUAGAAAGUACAUAAUGGAAAUGUGCAACCACAUAAUAAGUAUCAUGUAGAGCAAUGUCUAGCCCAGAGUUUGUUAGAACUAUUCCAGUGAGCCCUCCUAUGGUGAACAAAAAGAUGAACCCUACAGCAAAUAACAUGGGUGUUUUGUAUUGUAUCGAACCUCCCCACAUGGUAGCGAUCCAACUAAAGAUUUUGAUUCUAGUGGGCACAGCUAUGGUCAUGGUAGCUGCGGUGAAGUAGGCACGCGUAUCAACGUCUAAGCCCACAGUAAACAUAUGAUGAGCCCAAACUAGAAAUCCAAGAACACCUAUACUUAUCAUGGCAUAAACCAUGCCUAGAUACCCGAAGACCGGUUUUCUUGAAAAGGUCGAUACGAUAUGACUAAUAAUACCGAAUCCAGGCAGAAUGAGAAUAUACACCUCUGGAUGACCGAAGAACCAAAAGAGAUGCUGGUAUAAUAUUGGGUCUCCCCCUCCUGCUGGAUCAAAAAAGGUUGUAUUAAAGUUUCGAUCGGUUAAUAACAUUGUAAUUGCAUAGUACUAAGCGAAAAAUCUAUAGAAUAAAAAUCGAAUUAGUCCCAUCUCAUUAUGGACCGAAGGGGGCUGGUAUUUUUCCAAGAAAUCUCUAGCCAACCUUCCCCCAAGAGGUUUUUCUUAACACCAAUGAAUUAUAUUAAUGCUAGAGGAAAACGAUAGCUCCAAGAAUUUCUUUGUUCUCAACGCCUCCUAUUUAGAGGAAUUAGCCACUUCAACGACCUUUGAUGGUUAUAAGGGUAUCCAAAGUACAAACCUGAUGGUUGUUUGUUAUCCCAACCAUUCUUCCCAACCCUGAUACCAAUCAGGAAAGGGCUAAUUUCUAACAAUGUUUUUCUCUUGUUGAUUCCUAU